AUAUGGAAGUAAAAAUAUCAUUUUUCAUGAGAAUAAUUGUUCAACUAUUCGAUCAGAAUUUAUUCGAUCUUAUGGAGCACCCAAAGCAUUAAGAAAUCAAGAAGAGGCUUUGGCUGUCAAAAAAUUUUUAUUGUUUUUUAAUGAUAUUUCUUAUACAGUUCUAACGUUACCGCAAUUUCACCUCGAAUCAAUCGCCGAAUUGACUAAAUUAGUGGAUUUGGAUUAUAUUGGUUUUAUAUUUUAACGAUGUUUAGACGUUUUUGACAAAUUGAAAUACAUUAUUGAAGUGGACUUUGAGAAGGAAUCUACUCACAAAUCAUUCAUACGAUCUUGUUUGUGGCCAGUUUUUAUACAAAAUUUCCGUUUUAUGGUCAAAUUAAACCUAUUGUUCCCGGAUUACGAUUUGUGCCAAAAUAGCCCCGAAAUUGGCCAUUUUGUUAUUUUGAACGGUAGACUUUUCUCGAAUCACCCAGAUUCGCUUUCUCUCUUCUGGAAUGCAGACUUUAUUAACAUAACGGACAAUAUGAAUAAUUUCCGCAAACAAUUUUAUCUAAGUCUUAUUGGACAGGAUAAAGAUACCUUUAACAACGAAG